rnacentral:snRNA from 1 species
GGAUAUGCAAAAUGUCUAGCUGCAACAUCUGUCACCCUAUUGAUUGCCAGGGUUGACUCAGCUGAUCUGGCUGGCUAGGUGGCUGUCCCCUUCCUUCCUCACCGCUCUAUUUGCAUCCCUCCCAAAGCUGCAUGCUCGGUUGAAGAGGAAGGCCUUCCCUGAAUAGAGAUGGACUGGUCUUUGGUCGAGGGUAUAGGAGUAGCUGCGCUCCCCUGCUAGAACCUCCAAACAAGCUCUCAAAAAAUGAAAUGGAUCUGACUCACAUGAGGUGCCUCAAUAUAUAUGCAACAAUAAUAUGUUGGACAUAU